GGAAAUCAAAUUGGCGUUGCACCAGUGAGUGACAUGCAUUAUGCAGGAAACUGAUACAUAUUUCACACUCAUGGCAGAGAAAGGUAGACAGCCAUAGUGUAAAUGUGAUACUUUGUAUCGAUGGGUAUCCGUUUGCAAAGCCGGAAACCACCAUCCCAUGAGAGUAGUUACAAUGGAUAACCUUUAUUCGUAAUUGUUUCCUCGUUGCCCUGGAUAUGUUGUUGGUGUCCUUGGCUUGCGCUCAGCGGUUUGCAGGGGGCACGCGGGGGGAGGGGGGUUCCCGACCGGAAUUCUACAGGAGGACGAUGGAGGGGAUGCCGCGGUGCGCAUGACGACGAAACGUCAACCAGAUGAUGCCCCAGUUUUUCCACGAUCCACAUUCAAGCCCAUCUUUCAACAUUUUCAGGGCAAACAACAUAUGGAGGUUGUUGUAUCGACAUUGCAACUGUAGCUGUGAUGAAAUGUGAGACCCCGUUCGGGCGUCCCAGCUAAUUACAAUAGCUAAAAUGUCACAUGGACCCUAUUGAUAAAUUACACUGAACAAAAAUAUAAACGCAACAUGGAAAGUUUGGUCCCAUUUUUCAUGAGCUGAAAAAAAGAUCCCAGACAUUUUCCAUGCGCACAAAAAGCGUAUUCUACUUUUAAACGGAGAUGCUAGUUCUUGGUCCCAAGAAACAAAGAGUUCUUCUGUUGAAUCUGACAAUCAAUCUUGAUGGUUGAACAUUCGUCUCAAAUACAACUGUGAAGGACCUCGGCGUUACUCUGGACCCUGAUCUCUCUUUUGACGAACAUAUCAAGACUAUUUCAAGGACAGCUUUUUUCCAUCUACAUAACAUUGCAAAAAUCAGAAACUUUUUUGGACAAAACUUAUGCAGAAAAAUGUAUCCAUGCUUUUGUCACUUCUAUGUUAGACUACUGCAAUGCUCUACUUUCCGGCUACCCUGAUAAAGCACUAAAUAAACUUCAUUUAGUGCUAAACACAGCUGCUAGAAUCUUGACUAGAGACAAAUAAUUUGAUCAUAUUAUUCCAGUGCUAGCCUCCCUACACUGGCUUCCUGUUAAGGCAAGGGCUGAUUUCAAGGUUUUACUGCAAACCUACAAAGCAUUACAUGGGCUUGCUCUUACCUAUCUUUCCGAUUUGGUCCUGCCGUACAUACCUACACGUACGCUACGGUCACAAGAUGCAAGCCUCCUUAUUGUCCCUAGAAUUUCUAAGCAAACAGCUGGAGGCAGGGCUUUCUCCUAUAGAGCUCAAUUUUUAUGGAAUGGUCUGCCUAUCCAUGUGAGAGAUGCAGACUCGGCCUCAACCGGUACCAGUCUUUACUGAAGACUCAUCUCUUCAGUAGGUCCUAUGAUUGAGUGUAGUCUGGCCCAGGAGUGUGAAGGUGAAUGGAAAGGCACUGGAGCAACGAACCACCCUUGCUGUCUCUGCCUGGCUGGUUCCCCUCUCUCCACUGGGAUUCUCUGCCUCUGACCCUAUUACAGCGGCUGAGUCACUGGCUAACUGGUGCUCUUCCACGACAUCCCUAGGAGGGGUGCGUCACUUGAGUGGGUUGAGUCACUGAAGUGAUCUUCCUGUCUGGGUUGGCACCACCCCUUGGGUUCGUGCCGUGGGGGAGAUCUUCGUGGGCUAUACUCGGCCUUGACUCAGGAUGGAUCUGAGUCCUAGGACCAUGCCUCAGGACUACCUGGCGUGAUGACUCCUUGCUGUCCCCAGUCCACCUGGCCAUGCUGCUGCUCCAGUUUCAACUGUUCUGCCUGCGGCUAUGGAACCCUGACCUGUUCACUGUACGUGCUACCUGUCCCAGAUCUGCUGUUUUCAACUCUCUAGAGACAGCAGAAGCGGUAGAGAUACUCUGAAUAAUUGGCUAUGAAAAGCCAACUGACAUUUAAUCCUGAGGCACUGACCUGUUGCACCCUCUACAACCACUGUGAUUAUUAUUAUUUGACCCUGCUGGUCAUCUAUGAACAUUUGAACGUCAUGUUCUGUUAUAAUCUCCACCCGGCACAGUCAGAAAAGGACUGGCCACCCCUCAUAGCCUGGUUCCUCUCUAUGUUUCUUCCUAGGUUUCUGGCCUUUCUAGGGAGAUUUUCCAAUUUUCCAAGCCACCAUGCUUCUAUAUCUGCAUUGCUUGCUGUUUGGGAUUUUAGGCUUGGUUUCUAUACAGCACUUAGUGACAUUCGCUGAUAUAAGAAGGGCUAUAUAAAUACAUUUGCUUGAUAUUUAUCUCAAGUUUUGUGCACAAUUUCUUUUACAUCCCUGUUUGUGAGCAUUUCUCAUUUUCCAAGAUCUAGCCACCUGACAGGUGUGGCAAUCAACUCUCCUUCCGUGGCCUCCAAUUGCUCUUAAAUUCAAGUAAAACUAUAUGCAUGCUCUUCAACCGAUCGCUGCCUGCACCUGCCCGCCCAUCCAACAUCACUACUCUGGAAGGUUCUGUCUUAGAAUAUGUGGACAACUACAAAUACCUAGGUGUCUGGUUAGACUGUAAACUCUCCUUCCAGACUCAUGUGUAACUCUGUGUUGUUGUUCGUGUCAAACUGCUUUGCUUUAUCUUGGCCAGGUCGCAAUUGUAAAUGAGAACUUGUUCUCAACUUGCCUACCUGGUUAAAUAAAGCUGAAAUAAAUAAAUACAAUUAAAUCUCAAGAAGCUGAUUAAACAGCAUGAUCACUAUACAUGUGUAUCUUGUGCUUGGGACAAUAAAAGGCCACUUAAGCAGUUUUGUCACACAACACAAUGCCAACAGAGUUGGCAGUACAUCCAACUGGCCUCAACACCGCAGAUCAUGUGUAACCACGCCAGCCCAGGACCUCCCAAGUGGGUGGGCCUACCUAUACCCAUCCAUGGCUGCACCUCUGCACGGUCAUGUGAAAUCCAUAGAUUAGGGCCUAAUGAAUUUAUUUCAAUUGACUGAUGUGACUGAUAUGAACUUCAAUUGUUGAAAUUGUUGCAUGUUGCGUUUAUAUUUUUGUUCAGUAUAUAUCAAACCUGGAUACAGGCACAACUGUCUUCGCCGGCAUAAUGACUGAGGCACCAAAUUCCUCGCAAAAUAUUUCUUCCAGCACUUGGGCUUUUGUUGCAUUGCGUGCACUAUCACAACAGCUGUUCACCACUUGAUUUAGGAAAAUUCCUCGAUGGAUCAGAUGAUGAUGUGUGAAAAUAUGGCGUAACCAAUCAGCUGGACACCAAAUGUGCAAGUAUUAUGCAUCGUUAUUGAAGAACCACAGAUAUGACGGUAUCAUUUUAUCUUUUAAGCAUCACGGUAAGGUGAGUGGGGCCAAGCUUCCUGCCAUUCAGGACCUCGAUACCAGGCGGUGUCAGAGGAAGGCCCAAAAAAUUGCCAAAGACUCCAGCCACCCUAGUUAUAGACUGUUAUCUCUGCUACCGCACGGCAAGCAGCACCGGAGCGCCAAGUCUAGGUCCAUAGUCACUUUACCUAUGCAUAGUCACUUUACCAAUGCAUAGUCACUUUACCUAUCCAUAGUCACUUUACCUCGACCCAAAUGUAUAUAUUACCUCAAGUACCUCGACUAACCAGUGCCUCCACACAUUGACUCUGUACCGGUAGCCCCUGUAGAUAGCCUCACUGCUGUUAUUUUGUUGUUGCUCCUUAAUUUUUUGUUAUUUUUAAUUUGAUUUAUUUUUUACUUCAGUUUAUUUUAGUAAAUACUUUAAAAAAAAUCUUCACUGUAAGCUUGUAUUCGGCACAUGUGACAAAUAGGAUUUGAUUUGACUCUUUUGGUUAGAAGCAUUCAAUUUUGAAAUCGCAUUUAUUAUUUUGGAUUUGUGUGCCCAUUAACUUUUUUUCACCCUGUAACAUGAGACAGAAUGUUAUCUAGUUACACUGCAUUUCUGAGAUCUCUAAACAAAAACCUGUCCGUCAGCUAGA